rnacentral:rRNA from 1 species
AACGAACGCUGGCGGCAGGCUUAACACAUGCAAGUCGAACGAUAUAGUGGCAGACGGGUGAGUAACACGUGGGAACAUGCCUUUCACUAAGGAAUAGCUUUUGGAAACGAAAGGUAAUACCUUAUACGCCCUCCGGGGGAAAGAUUUAUCGGUGAAAGAUUGGCCCGCGUUAGAUUAGCUAGUUGGUGAGGUAAUGGCUCACCAAGGCUACGAUCUAUAGCUGGUCUGAGAGGACGACCAGCCACACUGGGACUGAGACACGGCCCAGACUCCUACGGGAGGCAGCAGUGGGGAAUAUUGCACAAUGGGCGAAAGCCUGAUGCAGCCAUGCCGCGUGAAUGAUGAAGGCCUUAGGGUUGUAAAAUUCUUUCGCUAGGGAUGAUAAUGACAGUACCUAGUAAAGAAGCCCCGGCUAACUUCG